CCCACGGGAUGCCUUAGUAACGGCGAGUGAAGCGGCAAAAGCUCAAAUUUGAAAUCUGGUACCUUCGGUGCCCGAGUUGUAAUUUGGAGAGGGCAACUUUGGGGCCGUUCCUUGUCUAUGUUCCUUGGAACAGGACGUCAUAGAGGGUGAGAAUCCCGUGUGGCGAGGAGUGCGGUUCUUUGUAAAGUGCCUUCGAAGAGUCGAGUUGUUUGGGAAUGCAGCUCUAAGUGGGUGGUAAAUUCCAUCUAAAGCUAAAUAUUGGCGAGAGACCGAUAGCGAACAAGUACAGUGAUGGAAAGAUGAAAAGAACUUUGAAAAGAGAGUGAAAAAGUACGUGAAAUUGUUGAAAGGGAAGGGCAUUUGAUCAGACAUGGUGUUUUGUGCCCUCUGCUCCUUGUGGGUAGGGGAAUCUCGCAUUUCACUGGGCCAGCAUCAGUUUUGGUGGCAGGAUAAAUCCAUAGGAAUGUAGCUUGCCUCGGUAAGUAUUAUAGCCUGUGGGAAUACUGCCAGCUGGGACUGAGGACUGCGACGUAAGUCAAGGAUGCUGGCAUAAUGGUUAUAUGCCGCCCGUCUUGAACCNCGGACCAAA
rnacentral:rRNA from 1 species